rnacentral:rRNA from 1 species
UACGGAGGGGGCGAGCGUUAUUCGGAAUUAUUGGGCGUAAAGGGCGCGUAGGCGGCUCUUUAAGUCAAAGGUGAAAUCCCUCGGCUCAACUGAGGAACUGCCUUUGAUACUGAGAAUCUCGAGUCCGGGAGAGGUGAGUGGAACUCCGAGUGUAGAGGUGAAAUUCGUAGAUAUUCGGAAGAACACCAGUGGCGAAGGCGGCUCACUGGCCCGGUACUGACGCUGAGGUGCGAAAG